GUAGUCAUAUGCUUGUCUCAAAGCUUAAGCCAUGCAAGUAUCAGUACAAACUGAACUAAAGUGAAACCGCCAAAAGCUCAGUAAAUCAGUUCUCAUUUCACGAGAUAAAGAAUUACAAAAUGAAUAACCACGGUAAUUCUGGAGCUAAUACAUGCAACACAAAAAUAUUUCCCAUGCAAAUGGAGAAAAAAAAUGCUCUUAUUGUUCCACAAGACCAAUCGCUCUUUAAAGGGCAUCGAUCUACACUCUAAAUAAUUCAAAUAGAUCGGACGAUCUAUCGGCGCUAUACCUUUUCAAAUGCCUAAUUUAUUAAACUUACGAUGGUACACUUUGUGUCCACCGUGGCCCUCAUGGGUAACGGAGAAUUGGGGUUCCACUCCGGAGAGGGAGCCUGAGAAACGGCUACCACAUCCAAGGAAGGCAGCAGGCACGCAAAUUACCCAAUCCCGGCACGGGGAGGUGGUGACAAUAAAUACCAAUACGGGACUCUUCUGAGGCCCCGUAAUUGGAAUGAGUGCACAAUAAACCCUUGAACAAGGAUCCAUUGGAGGGAAAGUCUGGUGCCAGCAGCCGCGGUAAAUCCAGCUCCAAUAGCGUAUAUUAAAUUUGCUGCGGUUAAAAAGCUCGUAGUUGGUACUACUACGUUACUGCAACACUGUUGGUUCGCCGCCUGUUGGUGCGUGUUACUGGCAUGCUGUUGCUUGACCUGUCGGCUCGAAUAAAAACCGGGAAAUCUUUCGCGAAUGGACCCAUUUGUUGAGGGGAUCACAUGAGAGGGUGCGAGAUGGCCAACGCUUACUCGAGUCUCUCGGUACCUCCAACCGGGCCUGUGUGAUUGUCAUUUAACCGAUUAUACAUCCCAUCCUUUCGUGAGCUCUUGACUGAGUUUCGAUUGGUAUGGGGCCGACACGUCGACACUUUGAACAAAUUAGAGUGCUCAAAGCAUGCUCAAAUUUCUGCCUGAAUAAUGGUGCAUAGAAUAAGAGAAAAGGACCUUGUUCGUUCUAUUCUGUUGGUCUCCGGAACACAGGGUAAUGAUCAAUAAGGACUGUCGGGGGCAAUCGUAUUGCGGCGUUAGAGGUGAAAUUCUUGGAUCGUCGCAAGACGCUCGAAAGCGAAAGCAAUUGCCAAGUAUGUCUUAAUUGAUCAAGAACGAAAGUUAGAGGUUCGAAGGCGAUCAGAUACCGCCCUAGUUCUAACCAUAAACGAUGCCAGCCAGCGAUCCGCCGAUGUUCUUUCUUUAUGAUGACUCGUGCGGGAAGCUCCUCCCCGGGAAACCAAAGCUUUCGGGUUCUGGGGGGAGUAUGGUUGCAAAGCUGAAACUUAAAGGAAUUGACGGAAGGGCACCACAAGCAGUGGAGCCUGCGGCUUAAUUUGACUCAACACGGGAAACCUCACCAGGUCAGGACAUUGAAAGGAUUGACAGAUUGAUGGCUCUUUCUCGAUUCUGUGGGUAGUGGUGCAUGGCCGUUCUUAGUUGGUGGAACGAUUUGUCUGGUUAAUUCUGAUAACGAACGAGACUCUAGCCCAUUAACUAGGCAGUUACGGUAUUGUGAGCUACCGGUGAUAAUAUAUUCUUCUUAAAGGGACAGGCGGCUUAUAGCUGCACGAGAUUGAGCAAUAACAGGUCAGUGAUGCCCUUAGAUGUCCUGGGCCGCACGCGUGCUACACUGAAAGAAUCAGCGUGUGUUUCCUAGGCUGAGAGGCCCGGGUAACCAGUUGAACCUCUUUCGUGCUAGGAAUUGGGCCUUGCAAUUGUUGCCCAUGAACGAGGAAUUCCUAGUAAGCGUGAGUCAUAAGCUUGCGCUGAUUACGUCCCUGCCCUUUGUACACACCGCCCGUCGCUACUACCGAUUGAAUGAUCUAGUGAGGUUCUCGGACUGGCGCUAAUCUUUGCUCGAUAUUUAUAUCGGUAUCGAUGAACGUUGGAAAGAUGACCGAAUUUGAUCAUUUAGAGGAAGUAAAAGUCGUAACAAGGUUUCCGUAGGUGAACCUGCGGA
rnacentral:rRNA from 1 species